rnacentral:snRNA from 1 species
GCCGGCCGGGGGACGGACUGG